rnacentral:lncRNA from 1 species
GCUGGACAGGGAAGUAGCGGCUCCCCGCAAAGAACAGAGGUGCAGUCCCAGGAAGACAGCAGAGCAUGGCCUCCUUUCUUUUCAUGGAAACUUUAUUUUGGCCAUUUAGUGAGGACCAAACAAAAUGUCUUAUAAUCAACAUUUUGUAAUUAUUAUGUAAUUUCGUGUUUUAAUUCGGGACAAUUAAUAAUUAAGUUCUAGGAUCAUAGAGAAACAAAAGCAGAGCUGGAAAGCGCAUGAG